AUGAAAGGUGCUCAAGGGUGUACGUGCAUUACCCGUGUACGUGCAUUACCUGUACUAUAUGACGACAACGAGUGGAAGUAUGAGGUGAAAGAGCCCGGAGGAACCACAAACGAUGGCCGCCAACACGGAGGCCGGGCUUUUAAGGUCUCCCUAACACGGUGUGAUUGCAGCUGCAUGAGGCCGUCUUUGCUUCAUCUCCCAUGCUCGCACUUGUUAAAUGCAUCCCCGGUUAGGAAUGUGGACGUCAAUCACCCUCUUACCGUGAGGGAGUCCGAGUUCUCAAUCAUGACGGUAAAGAAUACAUGGACUCCACGGUUCCAGCCAUACUUGGACCAAUCACAAUGGCCGGAGUAUCAUGGAGUUCAACUAUGGCCGGAC
rnacentral:rRNA from 1 species